rnacentral:rRNA from 1 species
UACAGAGGUCCCGAGCGUUGUUCGGAUUCACUGGGCGUAAAGGGUGCGUAGGUGGCUUGGUAAGUUUGAUGUGAAAGCUCAGGGCUUAACCCUGAAAUGGCAUUGAAUACUGCCGUGCUGGAGGUUUGGAGGGGGGACUGGAAUUCUUGGUGUAGCAGUGAAAUGCGUAGAUAUCAAGAGGAACACCAGUGGCGAAGGCGAGUCCCUGGACAACACCUGACACUGAGGCACGAAAGCUAGGGGAGCAAACAGG